rnacentral:rRNA from 1 species
GACGAACGCUGGCGGCGUGCUUAACACAUGCAAGUCGAACGGUAAGGCCCUUCGGGGUACACGAGUGGCGAACGGGUGAGUAACACGUGGGUGAUCUGCCCUGCACUUCGGGAUAAGCCUGGGAAACUGGGUCUAAUACCGGAUAGGACUCCUGGCUUCAUGGUUUGGGGUGGACAGCUUUUGCGGUGUGUGAUGGGCCCGCCGCCUAUCAGCUUGUUGGUGGGGUAAUGGCCUACCAAGGUGACGACGGGUAGCCGGCCUGAGAGGGUGACCGGUCACACUGGGACUGAGAUACGGCCCAGACUCCUACGGGAGGCAGCAGUGGGGAAUAUUGCACAAUGGGCGCAAGCCUGAUGCAGCGACGCCGCGUGAGGGAUGACGGCCUUCGGGUUGUAAACCUCUUUCAGCUAUGACGAAGCGCAAGUGACGGUAGUAGCAGAAGAAGGACCGGCCAACUACGUGCCAGCCGCCGCGGUAA